AUUUAUAUAGUAUAAAAAUUAUAAUUGACUUCCAAUCAAUAGAUCUAAAUACUUAGUAUAAAUA
rnacentral:tRNA from 1 species